UACGAAUACUCCAUAUCAUCUGGCAAAAUAACAACUUUCACAUUAAAUCUUGAAAAUGUAUCUAGAAAUGCACCCGAUAACUUUGCAGUGGUUCAUUUUUUUUUCAAUGACGAACUGUCUCAAAGGCAAGUGAAGUCUAUAUUGUAUGGAUUUUCUGAGAUUUUAUCAAAUUUUGGUGGAAUCCUUAGCCUUUGCCUCGGAAUCAGUUUUUUAAGCCUUAUAGAAUUGGUCUAUUUUUCCAGUAUUCAUCUUAUUUGUUUCCAUGUUAAGGAAAAACAAAGACGUAUUAAACGAGUACGACCUGAAGGGCAAAUCGAGAAUGAAAUGAGACUUGAAGGGCAGAAAAUUAUGCAUCUUUCAGAGGACUUUCAAAGGAUAAACUAUAUUUAAAUACUUUGAUGUGCGCACUUUAGUAAAUAAGG